AGCUACCUCUAUGGUUUUCCUCUCGUUCUUGAGUCGGGAGAUGGCCGCGGUGUGGUUACAACGGAGGUAAAUCCUGGGAACCGUGCUUCGGCUUGUCAGGAAUUUGAAGUUAGAGUUUAAUUUCUCAGAACAUUCUCUCCAGGAAGAAUUGUACAGUAUCUCAAAGACUUCACUUGACUUCUGGAUCCUGCAUAAAGCCUGAGGAGAAAAGAAAUGGGUCGCUCCAACUCUAGAUCACAUUCUUCAAGAUCAAAAUCCAGAUCACAGUCUAGUUCUCGAUCAAGAUCAAGAUCACACUCUAGAAAGAAGAGAUACAGUUCUAGGUCCCGUUCCAGGACAUAUUCAAGGUCUCGUAGUAGAGAUCGUAUGUAUUCUAGAGAUUAUCGUCGAGAUUACAGAAAUAAUAGAGGAAUGAGACGACCUUAUGGGUACAGAGGAAGGGGGAGAGGGUAUUAUCAAGGAGGAGGAGGUAGAUAUCAUCGAGGUGGUUAUAGACCUGUCUGGAAUAGAAGGCACUCUAGAAGUCCUAGACGAGGUCGUUCACGUUCCAGGAGUCCAAAAAGAAGAUCUGUUUCUUCUCAAAGAUCCAGAAGCAGAUCUCGCCGUUCAUAUAGAUCCUCUAGGUCUCCAAGGUCAUCCUCUUCUCGUUCUUCAUCCCCAUAUAGCAAAUCUCCUGUCUCUAAAAGACGAGGGUCUCAGGAAAAACAAACCAAAAAAGCUGAAGGGGAACCCCAAGAAGAGAGUCCUUUGAAAAGUAAAACACAGGAGGAACCGAAAGAUACAUUUGAACAUGACCCAUCUGAAUCUAUUGAUGAGUUUAAUAAAUCAGCCACAUCUGGUGAUAUUUGGCCUGGUCUUUCAGCUUAUGAUAAUAGUCCCAGAUCACCCCAUAGUCCUUCACCUAUUGCUACACCUCCUAGUCAGAGUUCAUCUUGCUCUGAUGCCCCUAUGCUUAGUACAGUCCACUCUGGAAAAAAUACCCCUUCUCAACAUUCACAUUCCAUUCAACAUAGUCCUGAAAGGUCUGGGUCUGGUUCUGUUGGAAAUGGAUCUAGUAGAUAUAGUCCUUCUCAGAAUAGUCCAAUUCAUCACAUCCCUUCACGAAGAAGCCCUGCAAAGACAAUCACACCACAGAAUGCUCCAAGAGAUGAGUCUAGGGGACGUUCCUCAUUUUAUCCUGAUGGUGGAGAUCAGGAAACUGCAAAGACUGGAAAGUUCUUAAAAAGGUUCACAGAUGAAGAGUCUAGAGUAUUCCUGCUUGAUAGGGGUAAUACCAGGGAUAAAGAGGCUCCAAAGGAGAAAGGAUCAGAGAAAGGGAGAGCAGAGGGAGAAUGGGAAGAUCAGGAAGCUCUAGAUUACUUCAGUGAUAAAGAGUCAGGAAAACAAAAGUUUAACGAUUCUGAAGGGGAUGACACAGAGGAGACAGAGGAUUAUAGACAGUUCAGGAAGUCAGUCCUCGCAGAUCAGGGUAAAAAUUUUGCUACUGCGUCUCACCGGAAUACUGAGGAGGAAGGACCCAAGUACAAGUCCAAAGUUUCACUGAAAGGCAGUAGAGAAAGUGAUGGAUUUAGAGAAGAAAAAAAUUAUAAACUUAAAGAGACUGGAUACGUAGUGGAAAGGCCUAGCACUACUAAAGAUAAGCACAAGGAAGAAGACAAAAGUUCUGAAAGAAUAACAGUGAAGAAAGAAACUCAGUCACCUGAGCAGGUAAAAUCUGAAAAGCUCAAAGACCUCUUUGAUUACAGUCCCCCGCUACACAAGAAUCCAGAUACACGAGAAAAGUCUACCUUCAGAGAGGAGAGCCCACUUAGGAUCAAAAUGAUAGCCAGUGAUUCUCAUCGUCCUGAAGUCAAACUCAAAAUGGCACCUGUUCCUCUUGAUGAUUCUAACAGACCUGCUUCCUUGACUAAAGACAGGCUACUUGCUAGUACACUUGUCCAUUCUGUCAAGAAGGAGCAAGAAUUCCGGUCCAUCUUUGACCACAUUAAGUUGCCACAGGCCAGCAAAAGCACUUCAGAGUCAUUUAUUCAACACGUUGUGUCCUUGGUUCAUCAUGUUAAAGAGCAAUACUUCAAAUCAGCUGCACCGACCCUAAAUGAGCGGUUCACUUCGUAUCAGAAAGCCACUGAAGAACAUAGUACCCGGCAAAAGAGCCCUGAGAUACACAGGAGAAUUGACAUCUCUCCAAGUGCUCUGAGGAAGCAUACUCGUUUAGCAGGGGAAGAGAGAGUUUUCAAAGAAGAAAAUCAAAAGGGAGAUAAAAAAUUAAGAUGUGAUUCCGCUGAUCUUCGGCAUGACAUUGAUCGCCGUAGAAAAGAAAGAAGUAAAGAACGAGGGGAUUCCAAGGGCUCCAGGGAAUCCAGUGGAUCAAGAAAGCAGGACAAAACUCCAAAAGAUUACAAAGAAUACAAAUCUUACAAAGAUGACAGCAAAAAUGUAUUUGUCUUUUACACGGCUUAUGGUGGAUGAGGACAAAAACUUUGGAAUAGCAAGCUAACACUGAAAAAAAAAUUAAUGUGUCCUAUUAUCCAGGCUACAUCAGGAGGUUGGACUUCAAUGCAGUGCAUUUCUAGAAACAGUUUGUUAAACAUAAAAGUAGAGAGCAAGAUCAUUCUCGAUCUUCAUCCUCUUCAGCAUCACCUUCUUCUCCCAGUUCUCGAGAAGAAAAGGAGAGUAAGAAGGAAAGAGAAGAAGAAUUUAAAACUCACCAUGAACUAAAAGAGUACUCGGGAUUUGCUGGGGUUAGCCGACCACGAGGAACCUUUUUUCGAAUUAGAGGCAGAGGAAGAGCCAGAGGAGUUUUUGCUGGGACAAAUCCUGGUCCAAACAACUCAAAUACUACUUUUCAAAAGAGACCGAAGGAAGAGGAAUGGGAUCCAGAAUAUACCCCAAAGAGCAAGAAGUACUUCUUGCAUGAUGACAGAGAUGAUGGUGUGGAUUAUUGGGCCAAAAGAGGAAGAGGUCGUGGUACUUUUCAACGUGGCAGAGGGCGCUUUAACUUCAAAAAAUCAGGUAGCAGUCCAAAAUGGACUCAUGACAAAUACCAAGGGGAUGGGAUUGUUGAAGAUGAAGAAGAGACCAUGGAAAAUAAUGAAGAAAAGAAGGACAGACGCAAAGAAGAAAAGGAAUAGUGAAUUUGAAAUAAGAUUGGAACAGAGAGCAGAACUUGCACCCACCAUUUUUUUUUUUACCUGAUUUUUGUUUUCAAAUAAGAAUGUAAGCAUUUUACUUAAAUUUUACUGUUUGCAAGUAGUCCAUAGAAAUUUUGUUUUAAGUCUUCAAAUAUCUUGAAAAAUAGUAGACUGUAUGUUGAAAAUUGUACUGAAAUAAAGUAGAAAAUUGUUACGUAUCAUAUUUGUAACUAUCAACUUUUAAAAAAAUACCUUUUACUGUUUUUGUUACAUGCAUUGUAAUUCUGCUUUGUCUAUAAGAUAUGGUCAAGUACAGCUCUGUGAAAGUUCUGAUUCUCUUCCCUCCCUGUUUGUUAAUGUUUUAUUCUGAAGUGAACGUUAGCUCUACAUAAAAAUCCCCAAACAGAAAUUGUUUAUAGAGACCACAUUAAUUAUUUUAACUGUAUACAUUUGUUUAACCUUCUCUUUAAUUUGAACACACUACAUUAUAGGGUGACUAAUUUUUGAAGUAUACCACAGACAGAAUUAGAAUUGUUACUUUGGUAAACUAAGCUAGUUCAGCACUUCAACAAAUGUUUAAGAAGGAAAAAAAGCUUGGCCAAUAGCUGAAAAGUACAAGCUUUUAAAAGAUAGUUUGAAAAGUUUGAGAAAAUGUUAUUUUUACUGAAAACAAACAGUGGCCUAUAAUAAACAUUCUUAGGAGCCUUUCCUAUUUGGGUUCAAAGUUCAGUGUUCUCUUUCUAAUUUGAGAGUUUGAGUCAUGGUGUCAGAUAUCAGCUACUUGAGAGAGGAAACAGGUUUGUAAUAAUACUGAAAAUAAAAACCCCAUUCCCACCAAAUGUGUUAGUAUUAAAAUAAAACCUGUAAUCCUGGAUUAUUCUGAAGAAUAAUUUAACACAUUAGUACCUGAUUUCAUCUCUUAUAUAUUUAUUUGAGCUUUUGGACAGCGGAAACAUUAUUUUGUAGUGUAGCCAUAAGAAAAAAUAGGCAAACACAACAUAUACUGUUCAUUAGUAGUAUUUUGAAUAACUUGUUUUUCAAAUGUCACCAAUAAAAAGUUUUGGCAGGAGCUUGUUGCAGCAUUGAUCUAAUUUGUUUAGUUGCAGUUUGUAAAAUGGCUUUUUCUUUUUGUUCCCAAGAUUUCUAUUCUUUAGGUAGAAAAUCUUUUCAAAUGUGAAUUAGUUUUUAUGUGUUGAUAAUUCUUACAGGUAUGAAAAUCUGAAGUAGUAAAUUUCAGUGUUAAGUCUGUCUGCUUUAUGAGCAUAUUUAAAACUAGCCACAUUUCACUUGUUAAUUCAGCCCCCUGAAUUAGUUGUGUAUGUUUGCUUUAAAAGGAGAUAAUUCUUGUUUGAUUAAUGUAAACUUUAAAGAUCUAAAGCCUGUGGCUCUUUCAUCCUCACUUGAUGAUUUGCAGUGCAUCUAACACCUCGAUUCCAGCCAGGGACACUUGGUAAGAGCUGUUGGAAACAAAACUUAACAAAACCCAAACUCAGUAUGUGUGAUGUUUAUAGCCCUAAGAUCCUUAGUGUACUGCAUGAUUUCUUCCAUUAGUUUUGUCUUUCUGAAAUUGUCUAUUAAAGCAGAGGAUAUACCUGCCAAAGCAAGUUAUCAGGACAUAACUAAUAUUCCCCUAUUCAGAAGAAUACUUCCUUACAUGUUAAAGCAACAUGGAUUUGAUCCCCAGUACAGAAUUUUUAUGAUCAUUUUAUUUUAUACAAAUAAAUAUAGCUUUUAUUUGAACAGUUAUUAUUUGGUUAGACACCAUCUCUGUGCAUGACUAUAAAUGUGCAGUUUUGCUUAUCCACUUAAGACAGUAAGAAAAAGGAGAUUUGCUGAGAAAUUAUUUAAUAGGGAGUGGGAAUAAGGUACUUAAAUCCUGUGGUUAGGUUCCAUUUUCCAUGCAAAGUCAUUGCUUUAACCUUUGGUUACUUUUCUCUUAAAAUUGAGGAAAGAGUAUCCUACCAGAAUAUAGUAGGACAGGGUGAUGUGAGAACUCUGCAAUAGAAUGCCAUUGUGGAUGUUAUCUUUUUCAGAGCCAAGCAUAUAAAAAGUAGCCUGUGUGUAUUUUUUUCAAACUACAGUUUAACUUCACACUUUAUGACAUGUUAUAAAAUCUGAACAGUUCCUCUUGGUAAGGAUAUUUGUUUACAAGUGCUGGGAAAUAACUCUUCACUACCACAUUAACAGACUUUGUUUUACCUAGAGAAGGGAAAUAAAAAUGAACCAAAGGAUAUUUACAGAAAGGAUUGAGAAAGCUGUUUAAGGAGGCCAUGACUCAGUUCGUAGGUGUGUAUGCCUUUCAACAUCUUAGUAAUUUUGCAAUUUACUUCAAGGGAUUACUGUUGUUCCCUUUUGUCACAGUUAAAAUCAAUGUUGGGAAUUAAAUUAUAAUUUGAGAAAAAAAUAUUCCCCACUAAGAAUGAAUGUAGAUGGCUAAACGAUUCUUACUCAGUGUGAUGUAUAAUGCAACAGGGACCCUUGUAAAUUGUCAUAUGCUAAUAAAAUGUCAUAAGUGGUUAA